GACAUGUACGGAAGUUACCAGAGAUGGUUUCGUGCUCGAAAGAGAACCGUAACACAGGUGCUGCAUGGCUGUCGUCAGCUCGUGUCGUGAGAUGUUGGGUUAAGUCCCGCAACGAGCGCAACCCUUGUCAUUAGUUGCUACAUUUAGUUGGGCACUCUAAUGAGACUGCCGGUGACAAACCGGAGGAAGGUGGGGAUGACGUCAAGUCCUCAUGGCCCUUAUAGGUGGGGCUACACACGUCAUACAAUGGCUGGUACAAAGGGUUGCCAACCCGCGAGGGGGAGCUAAUCCCAUAAAGCCAGUCGUAGUCCGGAUCGUAGUCUGCAACUCGACUGCGUGAAGUCGGAAUCGCUAGUAAUCGUGGAUCAGAAUGUCACGGUGAAUACGUUCCC
rnacentral:rRNA from 1 species